UACAGGGGGUGCAAACGUUGCUCGGAAUCAUUGGGCGUAAAGCGCACGUAGGCGGUCUGUUAUGUCGGAUGUGAAAGCCCUUGGCUCAACUGAGGAAGUGCAUCCGAAACUGGCAGGCUAGAGUACGAAAGAGGAUCGCGGAAUUCCCGGUGUAGAGGUGAAAUGCGCAGAUAUCGGGAAGAACACCCGUGGCGAAGGCGGCUCUCUGGGACGGUACUGACGCUGAGACGCGAAAGCGUGGGGAGCGAACAGG
rnacentral:rRNA from 1 species